AACAAAAGUUUACAUUACACAAAUAUAUUGGUUAUUAACAAAAUAAUAAUGAUACCACUAUCAUAAAAGAAUCAUUGUUAAAUAUUUAAAUCAAAAAUUGUAGCAGCUUACAUGAACAUGACAACAGGUCAGAAAAUAUGUGUUAAAAGAGGUUGAUGAUAACAUUCCAAAACCAUCGGUUGAAUACAAUUGGUACAAAUACACAAGACACACACAAACAUAUAUAUCACCAUCCCAUCACAAAAGAACCUAGCUUCUAAAGUUUUAAUGGCAUGGAAAAAAAAUUUAAGACAG